CGACUCUCGGCAACGGAUAUCUCGGCUCUCGCAUCGAUGAAGAACGUAGCGAAAUGCGAUACUUGGUGUGAAUUGCAGAAUCCCGUGAACCAUCGAGUCUUUGAACGCAAGUUGCGCCCGAAGCCAUUAGGCUGAGGGCACGCCUGCCUGGGCGUCACGC
rnacentral:rRNA from 1 species